GAUGAACGCUGGCGGCGUGCCUAAUACAUGCAAGUCGAGCGAACAGACGAGGAGCUUGCUCCUCUGACGUUAGCGGCGGACGGGUGAGUAACACGUGGAUAUCCUACCUAUAAGACUGGGAUAACUUAGGGAAACCGGAGCUAAUACCGGAUAAUAUAUUGAACCGAAUGGUUAAAUAGUGAAAGACGGUUUUGCUGUAACUUAUAGAUGGAUCCGCGCCGCAUUAGCUAGUUGGUAAGGUAACGGCUUACCAAGGCAACGAUGCGUAGCCGACCUGAGAGGGUGAUCGGCCACACUGGAACUGAGACACGGUCCAGACUCCUACGGGAGGCAGCAGUAGGGAAUCUUCCGCAAUGGGCGAAAGCCUGACGGAGCAACGCCGCGUGAGUGAUGAAGGUCUUCGGAUCGUAAAACUCUGUUAUUAGGGAAGAACAAAUGUGUAAGUAACUAUGCACGUCUUGACGGUACCUAAUCAGAAAGCCACGGCUAACUACGUG
rnacentral:rRNA from 1 species